UUUUGUGGGAACGAAUUUGUUCGAUUAACAAGCGCGCCGAGAAAUGCCUGCCCCCCUUCAACAUGGGAACAAUGUAAGAUCGCCUUAAUCGUCUCAUUGACGACUGUUGUUUAUCUGUGCUGAAGAAAGCGGCGUGUCAACAGAACUCGCGAAAGGCAGGACGCUGUGGAGUUGUAAUAAUUUAUUGGGACCAGAGGUGGCGCCACGGUCCCGAAAAACCUGACCAAACUUCUCCCCACCAGCCAGCGAGAAAGGCAAUGUCAACCGAUGCCCCCUCCAAGAAUCACAACAUGAGGAGCGCACCUCCCCCAAGUUAUGCUUCAUUCGUUUACUGGACUGGUUCUUAAAACAAAAACAUGCUGCCUAACCCGAAGGGCCUGCUUCCAUGCUACAUCUCUACAAACUAAGCUAAAACCAAGCAAUGGGGGAAUGAAAUGACACAAGCGUCAUUCUUCUGCUUAAGUUUGAAAUAAUACGUCUCGGAAUGUGAGUGGAAACCGGAGCACCUGGAGAAAGCCCACGCAGUCACGGGCAGAAGGUACAAACUCCGUACAGA